UUGGAUGAUGGCCUGCAUCUGACA
rnacentral:misc_RNA from 1 species